GUAGGUGGCAAGCGUUGUCCGGAAUUAUUGGGCGUAAAGCGCGCGCAGGCGGUUCUUUAAGUCUGAUGUGAAAGCCCACGGCUCAACCGUGGAGGGUCAUUGGAAACUGGAGAACUUGAGUACAGAAGAGGAAAGCGGAAUUCCACGUGUAGCGGUGAAAUGCGUAGGGAUGUGGAGGAACACCAGUGGCGAAGGCGGCUUUCUGGUCUGUAACUGACGCUGAGGCGCGAAAGCGUGGGGAGCAAACAGGGAUUAGAUACCCUGGUAGUCCACGCCGUAAACGAUGAGUGCUAAGUGUUAGGGGGUUUCCGCCCCCUUAGUGCUGCAGCUAACGCAUUAAGCACUCCGCCUGGGGAUACGGCCGCAAGGCUG
rnacentral:rRNA from 1 species